CUACUCCCCUCAUCCAUUCCUCCUCCACCUCUUCCUCGUUGGUGGUGUGUCGGCUGGAAGGACGGCCCCCGUGCUCUGACACACUCACACACACUCACACACACACCUCCGCGAUGUGUCACUACCCAUACAUCCACCUGCCUCUUCCCGUCAUUUCCCGCUCUCCUCUCCAUCUACCUACGCUUGUUCUUUUCCCUCCUUUUUUUUGUUGCUCACCCUAAGUCUUCCUCUCCAUCCCCCCUACGCUCUGUGUCACCGCUACCGGGAAGAAAAGAAAGAAAAAUGCUCCGACCGACAAAAGUAAGAAGAGAAAACGGAGGGAAAAGAGUUGAAAGCUGGAGUGUGUUUGCAGCUCAGCGAUGCCUCCAUCCACCUUGACUCUCCUUUGAUGGAAUAUCCCGGACGGCGAAGGGAAAGCGGAGGAAGAAAGGACGACUGACAGAAGAAUCAAAAGGAGAAGGAAGGACAACCAGCGCUCGCCUCAGGAGGCUCCAUCCAGACCAAGUCUCAUUGUCCUCACACACACCUCGUCCUCCGAGUGUGAGCGUGCACCUGUGUGUGUGUGCGAGGGUGGAGGUUCCAGUCCGGUCUUUUCUACAUCAGCAGCGGCAGCAGAAGCGGAGCACCGGGAUCCACUCUGAGGUUUACGUGGAUGCGGUGCGUCCGAUAGAUAAUGCCCUUCACCUGGGCCUGCUUCUGCGGCCUGAACGGAUCCUGCUGCCGACGAGAGAAGAAGAAAAAGCAGCAAGAGGAAGUGGAGGGUGAGGAGGCAGAGCAAUGCAGGGAUCGUGAGACUGAGGUGUGGUAGUGCUGCAGCCUCUCCUCACCUUCACCACGGUCUUAUCCUUUAACAGACUGAAUAUAUAACGCCUUUACGUGUAACUGCUGCCUAGCAAAGACUGUCUGAUAUUAUAUAUGUUGAUACUAUAGAGUGGUGCAGUCCACUAAAAGUCCUACAAUCUGGAAAUUAGUUUGCAUUUAACCACUUCCAGUUGGCUUGUCUCGAAGUCAACCAUUUUUUUAACGUGUUUGUGGUGGUAAGAAGCGUGAAAUAAGGUUUGUGGUUACCACAAGCUGAAGAGAUGUUGACAAUGUUGCUCUACGAUAUAUAUAAAAUACAUCAGUCAAUACCCCACUCGUGAAUAUCUGAAGCUUCUGUCCUGAAAAAGGCGUUAGCUAACAAGUGGUUGAAUGAGACACCAACAUUAGCCGCCUUUAGCUUAGCCGUCUUUAGCUGAGCCGUCUUUAGCUUAGCCGCCUUCAAACCAUGAUGUAAUUUGUUUGUUAGCCUAGCAUUAGCUCUUUACUUAUGGCGAUUGCAUUUACGUCUAAAAAACACAAAUACAAAUAUGUGGAGAUUAUCCUGCUGAACAAAAAGAGUAAGUAUUAAAAAAUGUAUGUUUGCCAAAUAUCUUAUUUUCUGCAAUAUUGAGAAAUCCAAUGGAAAAAUCCCAUUCCUUUUUGUCGAGGGACUCGAUGGUAACUUCCAGGUCGGCAUACAUUAUACCUAAUCACUGCACCACUCUAUAACAGGGACGGUAAAGGGGCUUCAGAAGUCACAGGCUUUUAUUGUGAAUAUGUACUAAAAUGUAACAGAAACUGCAUUGUUUCCAAUUGUAUCUGUGACUUCUAUGUUCUUUCCACUUUUUAAUCUGUAGAACUGUAAUAAAUAUAAAAAAUAAAAACCUGUGACCUU